AGGUGGGCUGCUAUAAUGCAGUCGAGCGGACAGAUGGGAGCUUGCUCCCUGAUGUUAGCGGCGGACGGGUGAGUAACACGUGGGUAACCUGCCUGUAAGACUGGGAUAACUCCGGGAAACCGGGGCUAAUACCGGAUGGUUGUUUGAACCGCAUGGUUCAAACAUAAAAGGUGGCUUCGGCUACCACUUACAGAUGGACCCGCGGCGCAUUAGCUAGUUGGUGAGGUAACGGCUCACCAAGGCAACGAUGCGUAGCCGACCUGAGAGGGUGAUCGGCCACACUGGGACUGAGACACGGCCCAGACUCCUACGGGAGGCAGCAGUAGGGAAUCUUCCGCAAUGGACGAAAGUCUGACGGAGCAACGCCGCGUGAGUGAUGAAGGUUUUCGGAUCGUAAAGCUCUGUUGUUAGGGAAGAACAAGUACCGUUCGAAUAGGGCGGUACCUUGACGGUACCUAACCAGAAAGCCACGGCUAACUACGUGCCAGCAGCCGCGGUAAUACGUAGGUGGCAAGCGUUGUCCGGAAUUAUUGGGCGUAAAGGGCUCGCAGGCGGUUUCUUAAGUCUGAUGUGAAAGCCCCCGGCUCAACCGGGGAGGGUCAUUGGAAACUGGGGAACUUGAGUGCAGAAGAGGAGAGUGGAAUUCCACGUGUAGCGGUGAAAUGCGUAGAGAUGUGGAGGAACACCAGUGGCGAAGGCGACUCUCUGGUCUGUAACUGACGCUGAGGAGCGAAAGCGUGGGGAGCGAACAGGAUUAGAUACCCUGGUAGUCCACGCCGUAAACGAUGAGUGCUAAGUGUUAGGGGGUUUCCGCCCCUUAGUGCUGCAGCUAACGCAUUAAGCACUCCGCCUGGGGAGUACGGUCGCAAGACUGAAACUCAAAGGAAUUGACGGGGGCCCGCACAAGCGGUGGAGCAUGUGGGUUAAUUCGA
rnacentral:rRNA from 1 species